UCGUGCAAGCCAUUGUGUAUGCUUCCGCUUAUGCAAAUUUGUACUCUAUUGAUACUUGUGUUGAGCCUUGGGCGGACAGGGGAAGCUCUGUCCGUUCGGCGUCUGUUUGACGCUCUCGAACCGGCCAAAAGGGAUCGGGCUCGGGGCGUGACAGAUAAUAUGGUAUCAGAGAGUAAAAGAGCCAAAGGUGAAAGCAUAGGAUGGACCUAGAGACCCUUAGGAAUGGAAAGACCUUAAGGAUCUAGGAAACGUGAGUGACGUUGAACAAGUAUAGCGAAAGCUUAUGAUUGGGUUAAUGCUAAUAAGUCUCUAAUGUGGUUAGAGGCUAACUUAAAGUUGUUAUUUGUUUUCUUUCCUUUGUGUUGUGAUCGGCGGCCGACGACAUGAUGUUUUGGAAGGAAAAUAAAUGCACUUGUAUGCUUUCGCCGAAUUGGGUAUAAUCGAGUAUAUUGUCUAAGUAACUAACGUGAAUUGCUUCGUUUCAGGAGGCAAUGGCACCUCGACCUCGUGGACGACCGCGGACGAGGUCUAUGGCCGAGGAGCCAAAUGCGGCUCCCGUGCAACCCGGAGCAGGUGGCGACGGGGAGCUUCGGGAGGAGAUGGCUGCGCUUAUUGGCGUAGUGCGGCAGCAGGCGGAGUCCGUUCAGCGCCAAGGGGAGCAGAUCCAGAGGCUCCAGGAGGCUUUGGAGCGGCAACAGG
rnacentral:lncRNA from 1 species